rnacentral:rRNA from 1 species
GACGAACGCUGGCGGCGUGCUUAACACAUGCAAGUCGAACGGUAAGGCCCUUCGGGGUACACGAGUGGCGAACGGGUGAGUAACACGUGGGUGAUCUGCCCUGCACUUCGGGAUAAGCCUGGGAAACUGGGUCUAAUACCGGAUAGGACCACUGCCUGCAUGGGUGGUGGUGGAAAGCUUUUGCGGUGUGGGAUGGGCCCGCGGCCUAUCAGCCUGUUGGUGGGGUGAUGGCCUACCAAGGCGACGACGGGUAGCCGGCCUGAGAGGGUGACCGGCCACACUGGGACUGAGAUACGGCCCAGACUCCUACGGGAGGCAGCAGUGGGGAAUAUUGCACAAUGGGCGCAAGCCUGAUGCAGCGACGCCGCGUGAGGGAUGACGGCCUUCGGGUUGUAAACCUCUUUCAGCACAGACGAAGCGCAAGUGACGGUAGGUGCAGAAGAAGGACCGGCCAACUACGUGCCAGCCGCCGCGGUAA